CCUACGGGAGGCAGCAGUAGGGAAUAUUGCUCAAUGGGGGAAACCCUGAAGCAGCAACGCCGCGUGGAGGAUGAAGGUUUUCGGAUUGUAAACUCCUUUUGUUAGAGAAGAUAAUGACGGUAUCUAACGAAUAAGCACCGGCUAACUCCGUGCCAGCAGCCGCGGUAAUACGGAGGGGGCAAGCGUUACUCGGAAUCACUGGGCGGAAAGAGCGCGUAGGCGGGAUAGCAAGUCAGAUGUGAAAUGCUAUGGCUUAACCAUAGAACUGCAUUUGAAACUGUUAUUCUAGAGUAUGGGAGAGGUAGGUGGAAUUCUUGGUGUAGGGGUAAAAUCCGUAGAGAUCAAGAGGAAUACUCAGUGCGAAGGCGACCUGCUAGAACAUAACUGACGCUGAUGCGCGAAAGCGUGGGGAGCAAACAGGAUUAGAUACCCGGGUAGUC
rnacentral:rRNA from 1 species